AAGAUCUUACAAAUCCUUUUGUCACAUGUACUGUACCAAUAUCAGCGCAGAAGACAUUUGGAGUAUGCAAGCGUUGUUUCAAUUUAUAAGUAUCAGACUUGGCGAAUGUAAAAAGCAUUAUUAUACAGAAAAUAAGAUCUCAUUUCAUAUUUAUAACAACAAACGUUUAUCUAGGAUUGGAUGAACAGUCCAGUCUAGCCUAGGCAUUGAGAAGGAAAAGGAAAAAAUACAGCUUGGACAAAGCAAAUAAGAUUUGUAUCCAUAUUAAUUUAUUAUUUGUUUAAAAAAUCCAUUGUUAAAGCUAUUUUAUCUUAGUAUUUUUAUAUUCAAAGAUGAUUCUUUUAGUUUAUCCCAUAAGGUACAUAUUUAAUAUUUCAUAUUUAUAACAACAAAAGUUUAUACAGGCUUUCCCCUCCAUACUAGAGGCAGGAAAGUCUAGGGUGAACAGUCCAGUCUAGCCUAGGCAUUAAAAAGGAAAAGAGAAAAAAAAUCCAGCUUUACACACAUGAGCAAAUCAGAUUUCAGAGAUAAUUUAUUAUUUGUUUAAAAACCAAUUUUUUAGUUAGCCCAUAAGGCAUAUAUAGUUAAUAUUUUCUUAUAUCAAACGAAAAAUUAUUUGUUCAAGCUAGAAAGCAAAAGUCCAAUUUUUAUUUGAUUUAUCUCACAUGUGCCAUAUUUUGUAAUAUAUUUAUUAAUUCACUAGUUUUCGUGGUCAGCUUGACCAAAUCUCUUUCAAUUAAUUAAUCUUAUUUAAGGUAUUGGUUGAGAUAAAAAAGGCAGCGUCACAAGCAGGAUUCGAACCCACAACCUUUGGUUAAAUGCGCCGCUGCUCUACCACUAGCAGCAACUAAUAGCUCAAGGGCAGCGGCACAUUUAGCCGAAGGUUGUGGGUUCAAAUCCCGCUUGUGAAACUGACUUUAUCUCAACCAAUACCUUAGAUACAUAUUUGUUAAUUGAAAACAAUAUAGGAGUUCUCCCUGCAGUUUUUAAUAGAGUUAGUCAUAAAAAAUGACCUUUUUUUCUUGCUAAUUUAAAAAUAAUUUUAUAUUCGCAAUUUUUUUUUUUUUUUAAUAUUCAAAAUAUAUACUGUUCUAUGGUUUGUUGCCAUCUAGGGACCAGAAAUUGAAUUCCUGCACAACACCACUCUUUGGGGUUUGAACAGAAGAAUUCUGAAACACCAUCUUGAACCUCAUCCAGAUAAUUACAAGUUUUCCCUUGAAGAUAAUGAGCUAUGGACUGGAACAGAUGGUAGUGUAAAUGUGCUAAGUCUGGACUGUAAGCAGGGAAAGCCUUGAUCUUCUAUCGUUCUUUCUCUUUUUGCCAUGUCUUGCAACAUUUCAUCUUUGGACGGGAAGUUAUCAUUUUUCAACAUGUUUAAAAAACUCCUUAUCUGAAAAUGAAAUAAAAUAUUAAUUUAA